rnacentral:misc_RNA from 1 species
CCUCUAGUCUACCCUAACUACCACGCCUUCUGUCUCCCGCUAAGCCUCUCUCUGGUCCAAACCCAUUUAGACCCACAGACCCAAAAAUGGAGCGUUUUGAUCAUCUUAGGGAUUCCUUUGUUGGCAUAUGUGACACUCCUUCCUCCGGCAUUGGUCCUCUUCAGCAUCGCACUCUUGAGCGCCUGGCCAUCGUGAGAACAAAUGGAAUAACACAAAUCAACUUGCC